rnacentral:tRNA from 1 species
GGCCCUAUCGUCUAACGGUUAGGACGGAGGCUUUUCAAGCCUUAAAUCGGGGUUCGAUUCCCCGUAGGGUCA